rnacentral:misc_RNA from 1 species
GUGAAGAACGCAGCGAAAUGCGAUAAGUAGUGUGAAUUGCAGAAUUCCGUGAAUCAUCGAAUCUUUGAACGCACAUUGCGCCUUCUGGUAUUCCGGAAGGCAUGCCUGUUCGAGAGUCAUUAACAACCGUUUCGAUCCCUUUCUUUCAGAAAUUACAAAGAGGAAAAGGGUUUGGUUAUGGUGGAGGAGGGAAAGGGAGCGUUUAGCCUGUAAAAAAAGAGGCUGUGUUCCGCCUCCCCCCCAAAAUUGUACAGGCGGUCGUGUGCGCCCACGCAUCGAGGUGUUGUAAAAGCUGCCACGGCACUUUUCACCUGUGCAGUGCGAGAUUGGCCAGCCGGUUUAAAAACCCCUCCAAACAAUCAAAGGUUGACCUCGGAUCAGGUAGGGAUACCCGCUGAACUUAAGCAUAUCAAUAAGCGGAGGA